GUCAAGAUGUAAAAGAAGUAGAAGACGAGGAGUUUAUAUUUCCCAAUCGUCGAUUGGUUAGGACUCAGGAGGACGCUCUUUUUUAGAUACGUAAUAAUAUAGCGUCUCCCGAUUUUUGUCAAGAAACACUCGAAGAACCGUGGAUGAAUUGUUCCCAAUUGUGACAGUGGAUUCGCAAGGGUACUUUUUCAAUUUUGAGUGUUCUAAUUUUGAUGUUAUAUUGAAAUUAGAGAUAGUGUGUGUUUGUUAGCAGAUGUAAAUGUAUUUUUUUCAAUUUGAUUCUGAUUUUUUAUUUUCCUCAUUCAGAGGUCAUAAUGUCAUAUCAGCUACACACUAGGCAACAAAGUGCACAUCUAGAUAUUUGAAAACAAAUUGUCACAGUUUUGUUGGGCAUAAUAUUUUUCUGCAAAUUAAUUACCAA